AUUGAACGCUGGCGGCGUGCUUAACACAUGCAAGUCGAGCGGUAAGGCCCUUUCGGGGGUACACGAGCGGCGAACGGGUGAGUAACACGUGGGUGACCUGCCCUCAGCUCUGGGAUAAGCCUGGGAAACCGGGUCUAAUACCGGAUAUGACUCCAUGACGCAUGUUGUGGGGUGGAAAGCCUUGUGCGGCUGAGGAUGGGCCCGCGGCCUAUCAGCUUGUUGGUGGGGUGANGGCCUACCAAGGCGACGACGGGUAGCCGGCCUGAGAGGGCGACCGGCCACACUGGGACUGAGACACGGCCCAGACUCCUACGGGAGGCAGCAGUGGGGAAUCUUGCGCAAUGGGCGAAAGCCUGACGCAGCGACGCCGCGUGAGGGAUGACGGCCUCGG
rnacentral:rRNA from 1 species